GCUGCACUCACCUAACCCUAGAGGCUGGGCCAUCUUUCUCUCAUUGCACCCGCGGUCUGUCUUUCUGGUCAGCUUCCAGACUCGGGAGAGAAAGAGAAUCCAAGAAACUGACUGCAGUACCGAUUCCAUCUACAGGACGGAGGUAAAAGUCCGCGGAGACGAUGUAAAAGUCGUGUCGCGCAUAUCCCUCUGUCCAAGUGUCAUGGCUGGUUCGUGGCUUGGUGUGUGGUGUGUGCGGCAAUGUUCGUUGACAUUGCUUCGUCUUGUUUACAGCAAAAGACAGCUUUUGAACCCAGUGAACGUUGCUCUCCGUGUCAGAGUUGACUCUGGAGAGGUUC
rnacentral:telomerase_RNA from 1 species